rnacentral:rRNA from 1 species
UAAUUAAUUUUUAAUUAUUUAAUUUUCCCGAAUUUAGAAGAGCUACUUUAACAUAUAUUUUAUUGUUUUAUAAAUACUUAAAAUGUUAGGGUAGAAAUGAAAUGUUAUUCGUUUCUAAAUAUAUCUGGUUUUUUAAGAAAUAAAUUAAAUUUACUUAAUAAAUAAAAAUUUUUUUAUUUUUAAUAAGUUUUUAUUAUUAGGUUAUGUUUAAAGGGAUGAGCUUUUAGGCAGAAUUUUAUAAGAUUAAGUUUAAUGUAAAAUAAUUAGGAUUAGAAAUUUUCAUUUUUAGAAGGGUGUUAUAAUUUAUUUUAUAAAUUUUAUUAUUUAUAUUUAAUUCUUUAAGUUUUUUAUUAAAAUUAAAUUUUUAAUUAUUUAUGGUUUGGGAUAAUGAUUGAAUUAGUAUAUUUUGUUGUAUUUUUAGGUUUUAGUCGGUAAGAUUAAGUUAAGGAAUUCGGCAAAAACUUUUCUGCCUGUUUAUUAAAAACAUGGCCUUUUGAUUAUAAUUUAAGGUCUAGCCUGCCCACUGAGUAUUUAAAUGGCCGCGGUACACU